GUUAGUUUUACCCUACUGAUGAUGUGUUGUUGCCAUGGUAAUCCUGCUCAGUACGAGAGGAACCGCAGGUUCAGACAUUUGGUGUAUGUGCUUGGCUGAGGAGCCAAUGGGGCGAAGCUACCAUCUGUGGGAUUAUGACUGAACGCCUCUAAGUCAGAAUCCGGGCCAGACCCAGGCGGAACGAUACGGCAGCGCCGCGGAGCCUCGGUUGGCCUCGGAUAGCCGGUCCCCCGCC
rnacentral:misc_RNA from 1 species